rnacentral:rRNA from 1 species
AUUGAACGCUGGCGGCAGGCCUAACACAUGCAAGUCUGGCGAGCGGCGUACGGGUGAGUAAUGUAUGUGGAUCUGCCUGAUGGAGGGGGAUAACUACUGGAAACUGUAGCUAAUACCGCAUACCCUCCGAUGAAACCAUAUGGGAUUAGCUUGUGGGUGGGGUACAGGCUCACCUAGGCGACGAUCCCUAGCUGGUCUGAGAGGAUGACCAGCAACACUGGGACUGAGACACGGCCCAGACGCCUACGGGAGGCAGCAGUGGGGAAUAGUGCACAAUGGGCGAAAGCCUGAUGCAGCCAUGCCGCGUGUAUGAAGAAGGCCUUCGGGUUGUAAAGUACUUUCAGUCGGGAGGCGUUACCGACAGAAGAAGCACCGGCUAACUCCGUGCCAGCAGCCGCGGUAAUAC